UUUAUGGAGAGUUUGAUCCUGGCUCAGGAUGAACGCUGGCGGCGUGCCUAAUACAUGCAAGUCGAGCGAACGGACGAGAAGCUUGCUUCUCUGAUGUUAGCGGCGGACGGGUGAGUAACACGUGGAUAACCUACCUAUAAGACUGGGAUAACUUCGGGAAACCGGAGCUAAUGCCGGAUAAUAUUUUGAACCGCAUGGUUCAAAAGUGAAAGACGGUCUUGCUGUCACUUAUAGAUGGAUCCGCGCUGCAUUAGCUAGUUGGUAAGGUAACGGCUUACCAAGGCAACGAUGCAUAGCCGACCUGAGAGGGUGAUCGGCCACACUGGAACUGAGACACGGUCCAGACUCCUACGGGAGGCAGCAGUAGGGAAUCUUCCGCAAUGGGCGAAAGCCUGACGGAGCAACGCCGCGUGAGUGAUGAAGGUCUUCGGAUCGUAAAACUCUGUUAUUAGGGAAGAACAUAUGUGUAAGUAACUGUGCACAUCUUGACGGUACCUAAUCAGAAAGCCACGGCUAACUACGUGCCAGCAGCCGCGGUAAUACGUAGGUGGCAAGCGUUAUCCGGAAUUAUUGGGCGUAAAGCGCGCGUAGGCGGUUUUUUAAGUCUGAUGUGAAAGCCCACGGCUCAACCGUGGAGGGUCAUUGGAAAC
rnacentral:rRNA from 1 species